AUUGAACGCUGGCGGCAGGCCUAACACAUGCAAGUCGAACGAGUGACGGGCGGGUAAGUAAUGUCUGGUAAACUGCCUGAUGGAGGGGGAUAACUACUGGAAACGGUAGCUAAUCCCGCAUCCCAUCCAGGGUGCCCAGAUGCGAUUAGCUGGUUGGUGGGGUACCGGCUCACGAAGGCAACGAUCCCUAGCCGGUCUGAGAGGAUGACCAGGCACACGGGAACGGAGACAAGGGCCAGACCCAUAAGUGAGGCAGCAGUGGGGAACAUUGCACAAGGGGCGCAAGCCUGAUGAAGCAAUGCGGCGUGUAUGAAGAAGGCCUUCGGGGUGUAAAGUACUUCCAGCGGGGAGGCGUUACCCGCAGAAGAAGCCCCGGCUAACUCCGUGCCAGCAGCCGCGGUAAUUC
rnacentral:rRNA from 1 species